GGUUGCGAUCAUACCAGCACUAAUGCACCGGAUCCUAUCAGAACUCCACAGUUAAGCGUGCUUGGGCGAGAGUAGUACUAGGAUGGGUGACCCCCUGGGAAGUCCUCGUGUUGCAACCC
rnacentral:rRNA from 1 species